CCUACGGGAGGCAGCAGUGGGGAAUAUUGGACAAUGGGGGGAACCCUGAUCCAGCCAUGCCGCGUGUGUGAAGAAGGCCCUCGGGUUGUAAAGCACUUUCAGUGAGGAAGAACGCCUGGUGGUUAAUACCCAUCAGGAAAGACAUCACUCACAGAAGAAGCACCGGCUAACUCCGUGCCAGCAGCCGCGGUAAUACGGAGGGUGCGAGCGUUAAUCGGAAUUACUGGGCGUAAAGCGCGCGUAGGUGGCUUGAUAAGCCGGUUGUGAAAGCCCCGGGCUCAACCUGGGAACGGCAUCCGGAACUGUCAAGCUAGAGUGCAGGAGAGGAAGGUAGAAUUCCCGGUGUAGCGGUGAAAUGGGUAGAGAUCGGGAGGAAUACCAGUGGCGAAGGCGGCCUUCUGGACUGACACUGACACUGAGGUGCGAAAGCGUGGGUAGCAAACAGGAUUAGAUACCCCAGUAGUC
rnacentral:rRNA from 1 species